UACUCGAGUGGCGAACGGGUGAGUAACACGUGGGUGAUCUGCCCUGCACUUCGGGAUAAGCUUGGGAAACUGGGUCUAAUACCGGAUAGGAGCCAUCUUUAGUGUGGUGGUUGGAAAGUUUUUUCGGUGUAGGAUGAGCUCGUGGCCUAUCAGCUUGUUGGUGGGGUAAUGGCCUACCAAGGCGGCGACGGGUAGCCGGCCUGAGAGGGUGUACGGCCACAUUGGGACUGAGAUACGGCCCAG
rnacentral:rRNA from 1 species